AGCGAACGCUGGCGGCAGGCUUAACACAUGCAAGUCGAGCGGGCGUAGCAAUACGUCAGCGGCAGACGGGUGAGUAACGCGUGGGAACGUACCUUUUGGUUCGGAACAACACAGGGAAACUUGUGCUAAUACCGAAUAAGCCCUUACGGGGAAAGAUUUAUCGCCGAAAGAUCGGCCCGCGUCUGAUUAGCUAGUUGGUGAGGUAAUGGCUCACCAAGGCGACGAUCAGUAGCUGGUCUGAGAGGAUGAUCAGCCACAUUGGGACUGAGACACGGCCCAAACUCCUACGGGAGGCAGCAGUGGGGAAUAUUGGACAAUGGGGGCAACCCUGAUCCAGCCAUGCCGCGUGAGUGAUGAAGGCCCUAGGGUUGUAAAGCUCUUUUGUGCGGGAAGAUAAUGACGGUACCUCAAGAACAAGCCACGGCUAACUACGUGCCAGCAGCCGCGGUAAUACGUAGGUGGCGAGCGUUGUCCGGAAUUACUGGGUGUAAAGGGCGUGUAGGCGGGUUGGCAAGUCAGAUGUGAAACCCCACGGCUUAACUGUGGGACUGCAUCUGAAACUGCUGAUCUUGAGUGCUGGAGAGGAAAGCGGAAUUCCCAGUGUAGCGGUGAAAUGCGUAGAGAUUGGGAGGAACACCAGUGGCGAAGGCGGCUUUCUGGACAGUAACUGACGCUGAGGCGCGAAAGCGUGGGGAGCAAACAGGAUUAGAUACCCUGGUAGUCCACGCCGUAAACGAUGGAUACUAGGUGUAGGAGGUAUCGACCCCUUCUGUGCCGGAGUUAACACAAUAAGUAUCCCACCUGGGGAGUACGGCCGCAAGGUUGAAACUCAAAGGAAUUGACGGGGGCCCGCACAAGCAGUGGAGUAUGUGGUUUAAUUCGAAGCAACGCGAAGAACCUUACCAGGGUUUGACAUCCCUUGACGGCUGUAGAGAUACAGAAUCCCUUCGGGGCAAGGAGACAGGUGGUGCAUGGUUGUCGUCAGCUCGUGUCGUGAGAUGUUGGGUUAAGUCCCGCAACGAGCGCAACCCUUGUUGUUAGUUGCCAGCACGUAAAGGUGGGCACUCUAGCGAAACUGCCGGCGACAAGUCGGAGGAAGGUGGGGACGACGUCAAAUCAUCAUGCCCCUUAUAUCCUGGGCUACACACGUACUACAAUGGCUGUAACAGAGGGAAGCGAAGGAGCAAUCCGGAGCAAAUCCCCAAAAGCAGCCUCAGUUCAGAUUGUGGGCUGCAACCCGCCCACAUGAAGUCGGAAUUGCUAGUAAUGGCAGGUCAGCAUACUGCCGUGAAUACGUUCCCGGGCCU
rnacentral:rRNA from 1 species